AUAUUCUUGGUCUCUGAUAGCAGACAUUAAAAGCUCAAUUUCGUUAAGGGUAUGGAGGAUGUUGCUAUUUCCGUGCCAUGUUGCGGGACACUUCUCGAUUAAUGUUGCUGGCGGCCAAUACGCCCUAUACGGAAUGAAACGUAAGUGUUUAUGGAGUGCAACGUAAGAGGUAUGCAAUGUGGGGCAAUUGAUUUGAUAGGAAUAUUGGUGCGAUGGAAAAUCACUUCCAAUAAAUGCAAUUUAAAUUAUUUUAUAUGCUUUUAAAUUUAAUAGAUUAUUGAAAUUGAUAAUAUACCAAUAUACCGUAAAUACACCUUAAUCGAAAUUUCGACGUCAAAA